rnacentral:lncRNA from 1 species
GGUAGCUGGGUCAUCUUAUCUCCACCGAAUUCUUCAUUGUCUUUUUGUUGGGUGGACCUCUUAUCUUGAAAUUGAAUGCCUUAUCUUUUAUCUUUGUCUGCCACUUGUAACCAUUGGUAGGAAGUAGUCACAAUUAUAGAGACUUUUCUUGCAUUAUCUUCUGUCUUCUAGUAGCCACAGUUUUUCUUUAAUAAAUUUCUUUAUUAAAGUAGUGAUAAAGGGCUACUUUAGUCAUCAUCACUUCUCCAU